rnacentral:rRNA from 1 species
AAGUCCCGUAACGAGCGCAACCCUCGCCCCUAGUUGCCAUCAUUCAGUUGGGAACUCUAGGGGGACUGCCGGUGAUAAGCCGCGAGGAAGGUGGGGAUGACGUCAAGUCCUCAUGGCCCUUACAGGCUGGGCUACACACGUGCUACAAUGGCGGUGACAAUGGGCAGCGAAAGGGCGACCUCGAGCUAAUCCCAAAAAGCCGUCUCAGUUCAGAUUGUACUCUGCAACUCGAGUACAUGAAGGUGGAAUCGCUAGUAAUCGUGGAUCAGCAUGCCACGGUGAAUACGUUCCCGGGCCUUGUACACACCGCCCGU